rnacentral:rRNA from 1 species
GCAAGUCGAACGGUAACAGCAGAGCUUGCUCUGGCUGACGAGUGGCGGACGGGUGAGUAACGCGUAGGAAUCUACCCAGUAGCGGGGGAUAGCCCGGAGAAAUCCGGAUUAAUACCGCAUACGCCCCACGGGGGAAAGAGGGCCUCUUCUUGAAAGCUCUCACUAUUGGAGGAGCCUGCGUUGGAUUAGCUUGUUGGUAGGGUAAUGGCUUACCAAGGCGACGAUCAGUAUCUGGUUUGAGAGGACGAUC